GCUGGGGGUGGGGAGGGUGGAGAAACACCUAGAUCUUUGAGUCGUUAAAGCAAGAUAACAAACGGCAAUCCUGAGUAGGACUGAAAGAAAGCAGGCCUGUGCACCGGCCAGCCUCAAGUCAGAUCACUGGGAGGUGUGCAUUUUCACCAAUUUUUCCUCGUUCCCGCUGGAACUUCAGAGUAAGAGGAAGAAAGAUCUUUAGCUUUCGUUUUCCAGAAAGGUUAAGGAGCCACCUAGGAUUCCAAGCAGCCAAAGGAAGAAGUUGAAUUACUUACUUUGCAGUUCCUAUCAUCUGGAGUUGUUUCAUCAAAUUCUUCUCCCAAGUGGAAGCUGAUUUCUGUGUUCUUGAAGCUUCAGACAACUGAGAAGAUCUGCCUGAUAUUCCUGGCCCUAUGGUUUAGAAAAUGCUCCUGCACUUCAGCUCCAGCUUCUUAUUUGAAGAAGAGGCGGGCAAAGAGCAAGGAUUAGAGCUGAAAUCCCCACCCCUCCUCUGUCCCUCUUUCUAGGAGCCUGGAGAUGGGGAGGGGGAAUGGAAUCGAGGAGCAAGGGGCCCAAUCCUCUUUGUGAUUGGCUCAGGCCACUGGGUCAGCAGAGUAGGGCAGGCACCACCCACCCUGCACACUGCAGCCCUUAUCCCUGAUGGGGCUAGGCAGGGGAGGACUUCUUAGGGCUGGGGGGAGGGGAAGGAAACAAAAAAUGAGAGGGGGUCUUUCAGGUUUAGCUUGAAAUUUUGGCAAUAGUAACACAAGGCUGUGAGAAGGCAAAAGAAAAACUCACAAUAGGAUAUUCAGAUCGAUUUCCGUUGAACAUGAAGAUGGUGACAAAUGAAAGCCCCAUGAAGAAAAUUACAGUAAUGCCAAGUUUUUUAAACCAAAGGAUGUUGAAGACUCUAUCUCUCUCUGUCUCUCUCUCUCUCAAUAUUGAAAAAAAAAGACCUUUAUCUACUCCUAGUUUAAUUUUGUUUUAUCUCAUAUUUGAGAGAGAGAGUCUCUCAAAUAUGAGAUAAAAUAAAGUUAAACCAGGAGGGAAUAAAGGGCCUUUUUUUCCCCUAUAUGAUGCAUGUUUCCCUGCCUGGAUAUCAAUGAGCUAAAGCUAUUCUGACAUGCUCCCAGCACAAAGCAAGCAGAUUUUAGAGCUCUCAUUGUCCUUAGCAAGAAUAACAGAGCUAGAUUGCAAUGAGAAAGCAGCCAAGAAAGGGUAAGAUGAGGAUUCAUUACCAGGAAAAAAAAGAAAUGAGAACUGUCUGGGUAGAGAAAAGUGGGCUACUUUUCCUUCUUUUCCCAGAUUAUAUAGUAGAAACUGUCUAGAAAUAGCUGGCCAGGAUAUCUGAAUGAUUAGCAUUUUUAAAGACUAAGCCCUCACAUGCCUGCACUAUAGGACCCUAUGGUUUCUCCAGAGCUACCAAUCUAAGCCAGCAUAGGGAGGAGAGCAGAAGUUAAAGAAACUAGCUAUUGAAGGGGUGUCUGCUUCCAAGUGUAGUCUUCUCCAUGCCCUUACUCAUGUAGAGAGUAGCUGAAAUGGAUGUCUGUUUAGAAGUCAUGCUGACUUAUGUUAAAGCAAAAUAUUUCUAAGACUAUUUUGAGAGUUUUGAGCAGCUAUUAGUAUUCUCUGGGAGGCCCCAAAAUCACCAUGAAUGAAUGGAAAAGUGUUUAUUAAGCUUUUAUUGUAUUUGAAGCAUUAUACUAAGACCUAGGGAUACAAAAAACAAACAAACAAACAAAAAAAAAAGACAGCCCCUAUUCUCAAGAAAUGUACUUUUUAAUAGGGGGAAGCAGCACACAUAGGAAAGUGAUGAAUGUCCAGAAAAGGUGAAGUCACAGGGAUAGUGAGUAGAACCCUAGAGCAACAAAAUGAUGCCUCCUUUUCAGAAGCAAUGAUAUUUAUUUGAUUUUUGCACUCUGAAGGAAAUAUGAGAGAUGGGGACAUGAGAGGCAGGAUGCCAUAAGUGGAAGAUUUUAUGUGACUUUCCUUCGGUGUCUAAGAUGUAUUAUCAAUCAGCAGGGACCAAGAAGGACCACAAUACAAAUGAGUCUCACAGAUCUUCAAGAUUGGUCCAGCCCAAGGGCACACUCUCUGAUUUGUCAAUAAACUAGAACAACUAACUUACAACAAAACCUGAAUGUAGGGUUCUUAACCUUUUGGGUGUCACAGACUCCUUUGGCAGGCUGGUGAAGUCUAUGAAGGCUUUCUCAGUAUUAUAUUUUUAGAUGCAUAAAAUAAAUAAAAUUAAAAGGAAACCAAUUAUAUAGAAAUAUUGUUACCAAAAUUUU